GGAGAUAUUAAAUUGUUGUUUGUGAUAUCAAGUGGCUUGCCUACAAUAAAGGACCAUGAGCAUGUCACUGAUUUGGAAAUGCUUUCACUGCUACCUGUUAUUAAUCAUCCGAUUUCUUACUUCUUCCAUCUAUGCAGGAAUGACGUGAAGAGAGUCCUCCCCGUUCUUAAUCAUUUGAUUUCUUACGCCUUUCAUGUAUCUCUGGAUAUAGCGAGAGAAGUUACAUGAAACACAAAAGAGGGGAGCUAAAGAUUUUCAAAGUGGAGUAUGUUCUCCAAUGAGAUGUAGAAGGAAGACUUUGAUUUCAAGUUCUAGAUGAACGCAAUAAUCUUGGUGGAAGGCUGUGAGCCUGUGUAUGUAGUUGCCCACUACAAGGAGCCAAGGCAAAUGAUGUGCCUCUUUAAGACAAAUUCUAGAAAAUAAAGCGAGCAGAUUUUGCUCUUAGGAAAUGAACCAUAAUGUUUCCUAUACUUAAUUAGUUCCAUUAGUUUAUAGGAAAUUUUGAUGGUCAUUAGUUCAUAACAGAUGAUGUAUUUAUAUGGGAAAAUUAAUGAAUGUGUGUUAUUAUUGUUUGCA